UUCAACAAAGCCAUUUCUGCCACACAAAGUGGGGCUUUCCAGGCUGACUGGCCCUGUUUCUUCAAGAAGAUGGCAUGACUCAUAUUUGGUGCCUGCCGUUAUGUGGCUAGGAAAAUAGCAAUGUCCUUGCGCCAUGAGGAUCUGGGGGAGCCUGCGUCAGCUUUCAAGGUGUACCAGGCAGGCACCACCAAAAAGGCAGCACCAUCUCAAUCCAUCCCUUACUCUGCCAGCCAGAAGGAUCCCCAUGCAGCUACUUCUGAAGUCAGAACCCAGAAACUAAAGUCCUGAUGAAAUAAAAUAAAAAGGACAGCAAAGGAGAAAAUGACGGUUUGUUUGACAAAAUCCUGAGGGUGCAGGAAGUGAACAGACCCGAGAAUCUCUUAUUCUGUCCUCUCAUUGUUCCACUAUGAAAACAAACUUAAAUAAAGAAGCGCUUUGUGUAUUUAGCAAUAC